rnacentral:lncRNA from 1 species
CUAUGUAAAGACGUUUAUAGCCUGUGACGCUGAAUGUCUCAAAAUAUACUAACUAACUAACUAACUAACUAACUAUUUCUGCUCCCAAACCGCUCAAGUUGCCUGAGCGAGUUAUUGAAGGCGAACUGGUCACAGUGAGUGGGACACACUGAAAAAAACUGUGUUAUCUAUAAUUCGUAAUAUGCAAAAUGUUUGUUUCUUUUAUUUUUGCAGGUUAUCGAUUUGAAACCAAGUGCAAUCAAAUAUCCGAAUAAAGCUCGUUCAGUCAACCACGACUUGAAAUCGAGGGGAAUAGGAAACAAUUACAAUGAUGGAUACCAACCAGUCGGCAAAUACGCGCAGGUCCUCCAGAGCACCUCCCACGUCUACCAGCCGGAGGAACCGGCGCCCCUCCCCGAAAAGAAGCAGAAGAUCAAGCCCAGCGCCACCGCCCGAAUCCUCAAGACCUCCGCCCCGAACCUGGCCAAGAAGCAGCCCGCCCUCGAGGCGUCCCCCGUCAGCACCCUCGAUGAGGAUAGCGCGCUACCCCUCGAAGCUCUCUUUAGCUCAAGCCCAGGCGCGAACCUGAUCCGUCAGUCGCGUCGCCCGGCGAUCGGAAACACGCCGGCCUUCAAGAACCGGUUCUCCGGGUCCAGGAACCGGAACCGGGACGACUCCGAGAUCAAGUCUGACUACGGGAGCUUCGAGAGCAACGACAGCGACGCCUACUUGGAAUCUGACUACAUAGCUCCCAGCCCCAGCGCCGCACCCGCCUUCAGGCAGAAAACCAAGAGCCGCGGCAACCAAGGCCAGAACUCCAGGCAAACCUUCAAGUAAGUUCCAUUUUCAGAGUCCUCUGCGGGCUGAUUAUAGAAAUGGAUAGACAAAGCGAUAGACAAUACUAUAAAAAGGUGCUUGGCUCA